rnacentral:rRNA from 1 species
CAAAGGUAGCGUAAUCACUUGUCUUAUAAAUAAAGACCCGUAUGAACGGCUAAAUGAAUAUUCGACUGUCUCAUUUAACUAAUCAGUGAAACUGAUCUUUCAGUACAAAAGCUGGAAUAAUAACAUAAGACGAGAAGACCCUGUGGAGCUUUAAAUUUUUAUCAAAACAUUCACACAAGACAUAUUUAUGACAAAAAAUUUUGAGUUGGGGCGACUUUGGAGUAAAACAGAACCUCCAAGAAAAGGCACCGCCUAAACAAGGCCAACAAGCCAAACCACUUCGACCCAGUACCGCUGAUCAACGAACCAAGUUACCCCAGGGAUAACAGCGCCAUCUUCUUCAAGAGUUCAUAUCGACAAGAAGGUUUACGACCUCGAUGUUGGAUCAGGACACCCAAAUGGUGUAGCCGCUAUUAAAGGUUCGUUUGUUCAACGAUUAACAGU